UUUGCUAGCUGACAAAGAGGCGGAUGGCCGAUUGAGUGGAGAAGAGAGGUCUGGACGAAGUUGUGUGCUUGGGUGAUGGCGUCUGAUAGGCCCACAGCAGACAGAACGAUGAAGUGAGCCAUACAGAGGGACAACCAGUGUCCUACCUCUGAGGUGUCCCACAAGAGGCAACAGUGUGCAGCAGCUGGUCCAUAAUGUUUCAUGAUAGCUACCUGUAACAGUCUCUUCCAAACCUCAUCUGGGGACAUGGAUCACUUGAAAGCAUUGGUCAACUGGCAAAAUACAAACGGAAUCUGUAUCUUCCCUCCAGAGAGCCCGUCAUUCAACAUUUGCCAACAUGUGAUUGAUUAAAGAUCAAGUGGCUGGCAUGAAAGGAAUCUGCAGAUGAGAUCCUGCACUGAAACUCUGCUUGGCAAGAUGACCCUUAGAGCCCCUCCAAAAGCAAGCGUUUGAAACAUCUCUAGUCCUGCAUGAAGAGAAAAGCCCAAAGCCUGAGCUUAUUGCUCUUUUGAAACCACCACCAACAUCACAAGGCUGACCAUCUUGGCCUCCAAAACUCUCUGAUGGACUUAGUCAGAGGUCAGAGUCUCCAACACCAGCAUUGCCAUUACUACCAGGCCCCUGCUCAAAAUUAGGUUCUGAUCCAUAGCCUGAGAGUCCCCACAAGCUCCCCUGCAGAAAAGGAGCAACCGGGAUGCUCUGAUCGAAAAACAUCUGGAAGGCAGGAAUCCAGAGACUGAAGGCGUCUUCCCAUGGGCGACAGAUAUACACAGGGCCAUUGAGACAGAGGGUAGGUAGUGGAGCCUGGAGACAUACAGGUAAAAGCAAUCAGCAGUUAUCACUAAAGAAGGCUACAACAGCAGUGUCCUUCACUGCUCAGGGAACCCCUGGCUUCCUCUCCACGCUAUUCAGCUUCGGCUACUUAUUGUCAAGGUGCAGGACGCAGCCUGGCAUUGGCAUACAAAGACACCAAAAAGCAUCUGAAUGAGCCAUGGGAUAUGCCAGUCACUCUGGGACUUAGGAUAUAAAUUACAUUUUAGUUCCUUAGAGAACUUAUAGAGUCUGUGUAGACACUAAAAACUGAACAAGCAAAACUAUCCACGUUGUCCCUGCUGUAGAACAGAGAGCAUCGCUUCUCUCCUGUGAUCCUGCUAGGCUGAAACUCUAAAUCCAGAAGUCUUGGUGUUUGGGAUUGAUUCUGAUCAUGGCUCCAUAGGAGCAGACUUGUGUGUUCAGAUCAAAUAUUCCCAUGGUAUCACCCUCAUAUAUAUGUGUCUGUCUUAGUCA
rnacentral:lncRNA from 1 species